AGCCCUAAGUGGGUGGUAAACUCCAUCUAAGGCUAAAUAUAACCACGAGACCGAUAGCGAACAAGUACCGUGAGGGAAAGUUGAAAAGCACUUUGAAGAGAGAGUUCAAGAGUACGUGAAACCGUUUAGGGGUAAACCUGAGAAACCCGAAAGGUCGAAGGGAGAAAUUCAUUCGCGUUUCGGCGCCGGCGGAUAUCGAGAUCGUUUGACGGAAAGAGUGUUCGCGCACGCUUUUCGCUACUUUCUUUAUUCGAUCCGGCGACGAACGCGUGCACUUUUCUCCUGGUAGGACGUCGCGAUCCGUUGGGCGUCGGUCUAAGGUCGAACGGUGGAGCCCGUAAAUACGGUUUGCGCCGUCAUUUGCGGACCCGUUCGCUUCCCGGCCGACUCGCUCGACGGUAUACGAAAGGUAUAAGGCCGCUCCUCGAGAGCGUUCGACUCGCGUCAAGCGCGCCAGUAGUUUGUUGGCGAUCGGACUUCGUGCCGGUUCUGACCUCUGGUGACUGUUGGGCGCGAAGUUCUCGAACAGACCUUUUUUACCGAUCUGCGACGCUAUAGCUUUGGGUACUUUCAG
rnacentral:rRNA from 1 species